GCUUCGUUGCAUGUUAGAUAUGUCUGUUCCCAGACAACGAACUAGCUCUGCCGCCUCUCUUGCUGCAUCUUCAAUCUCUUUCUGGAACGCAAUUCUCAGGCUAUAUGGUGCCUGGACACAGUCAGUAGAAGAGGAAGCAAAAUAUAUCUAUCAUGAAACAGCUCUAGGAAAUUCGCUCGAAUCCUGAUCCUGGUUACAAAUAUGAUUCUGUGGAGAAUAAUCAGAAAGACCUGAAUUUCUGAAUGUAGAACACCAUGAAGAGCCAUGACCUCAUAUGUACAAUAUCUGAGGACUGCACCCACCUUCACAUAUUCCGACCAUGGAUAAAAGAUGUGGACGAACCUACCAUGGGGCGGCUCCCAUUUUGCCGAACUUGCCUGAAAAAAAUCAAACAAAUAAAUAAAGAGAAACGAAUGAAAAACAUAUUAUCUUCCUGUGUUGAAUGACUCUGGAAUUUGUACCAAUCCUCAUAAAGAUAGUGGUUCAUCAGGAAAGUCAUCCAUCACAGUCUUUGUAAACUCGGGAUGUUGGCAUCCAUCAUCUUUUAGAUACUUCCCCACACACUCUGAAAAUCACUAGAUGAAAUGAGAAAGCAAAGAUCAUGCAUCAUUGAAAUUUGAUUUAUUCUAGAAUUUUAUUGAUGCAAUAUAAUCGAAUUCUGUACCUUGAAGAGCAUCAGCCAGAGAGGCGAAGUGGCUAACAAUCUCCUUGUGCAACAGUUCCCCAGCCCAUAUAGGAAAGAUGAGCACAUUGACUGCAACUGCAACUAUUGCUCCAAUGGCAAUCGAGUAGAGACGGUCCAUGGCCGUCAUGAUGGGAUUCCCCAUACGAUAUCCAGAAACUAUGAUCAAACAAUAGGUUCAGCAGUUUGUCCUGCUUUCAAGGCUAACUCUGCUAUGACGAUGGCCAAGGCUCCAGCGAGCAGGCUGCCUAGUGCACGGUUGAAUCCUCUAUUAAAAGUUGCACCUUCACACAUAAUGCCAGUGAGUUUAUCGU